UACGUAGGGGGCAAGCGUUGUCCGGAAUUAUUGGGCGUAAAGCGCGCGCAGGCGGUCUCUUAAGUCCGAUGUGAAAGCCAACGGCUCAACCGUGGAGGGUCAUUGGAAACUGGGAGACUUGAGUGUAGGAGAGGAAAGUGGAAUUCCACGUGUAGCGUGGAAAUGCGUAGAGAUGUGGAGGAACACCAGUGGCGAAGGCGACUUUCUGGCCUAUAACUGACGCUGAGGCGCGAAAGCGUGGGGAGCGAACAGG
rnacentral:misc_RNA from 1 species